rnacentral:rRNA from 1 species
AAUGCGGAGGAAAAGAAACCAACCGGGAUUGCCUUAGUAACGGCGAGUGAAGCGGCAAAAGCUCAAAUUUGAAAUCUGGUACCUUCGGUGCCCGAGUUGUAAUUUGGAGAGGGCAACUUUGGGGCCGUUCCUUGUCUAUGUUCCUUGGAACAGGACGUCAUAGAGGGUGAGAAUCCCGUGUGGCGAGGAGUGCGGUUCUUUGUAAAGUGCCUUCGAAGAGUCGAGUUGUUUGGGAAUGCAGCUCUAAGUGGGUGGUAAAUUCCAUCUAAAGCUAAAUAUUGGCGAGAGACCGAUAGCGAACAAGUACAGUGAUGGAAAGAUGAAAAGAACUUUGAAAAGAGAGUGAAAAAGUACGUGAAAUUGUUGAAAGGGAAGGGCAUUUGAUCAGACAUGGUGUUUUGUGCCCUCUGCUCCUUGUGGGUAGGGGAAUCUCGCAUUUCACUGGGCCAGCAUCAGUUUUGGUGGCAGGAUAAAUCCAUAGGAAUGUAGCUUGCCUCGGUAAGUAUUAUAGCCUGUGGGAAUACUGCCAGCUGGGACUGAGGACUGCGACGUAAGUCAAGGAUGCUGGCAUAAUGGUUAUAUGCCGCCCGUCUUG